rnacentral:lncRNA from 1 species
GCUCAUUUUUAACCUUUCUGGUGGAUAAUUAAGCAUCUAAGUUGGAGGGCUUGAGCAUCUUCAAAGAAGAUCUGGAUCAGGGGUCUAAUGUGCAACUUAUAACCAACAAGUGAAGUCAAACGCAAGAGGAAAUCAUAGUUUACAAAUGCAGUCCAAUAGAGGAAAUAGACCUAUAUACACUCAAGCGCAGCGUGGUGUUGUUUGUAGUGAGAGAACCAGUAACGAAGACCACACAUGGCUUCUCAACCCAGGAAAACAGAACUCACCAGGACUGCCAGAGCUUCAAAAGCCAAGUGCUAUAAAACGGUGUAGUUUCACCAAAACAGAACUGGAGAUGGACAACAAAAUUAAAGAAAACAAAGCUAAGCUGCAGAAAAAGCUGCAGAAGCUCGAAGAAAAACUGAGACAAAAUAAGCUAAGAGAACCUGCUGAUGCUCUGAAAGAGGAGAGAGAGAAGAGGGGGAGAGCAGCGGUGAGGGAUGCCGGCAUGAUGGCGACGCAAGGAAAAAGACAGGAUGGAAAAGUAGCAAAUCUAGUGGUCCAGUAUCUCCAGUUGCAAAGGAAGGAAGAUAAAACUCCCAAGAUCACAUUUCAUGGGCAAAAAAUGGUGGGAGGGCUCCAUCUCCAGAGGACAGAUAGUGUGAAAAGGCUGAUCAGAGGAAAGGGGGAUGGGGACAGCAGAGAAAACACAAGCAAUGGGCUUCACACCUGUGCAGGAAAAGAGUUACGUACAGGCGACAAUCCAAAGAGACCCCAGAUGAGUCAAAAUGAGAUAUCAGAUCGCAUUAGAGGUCCAGGAGAAGAGACCGAGAAACCCCUGCUACCCCCAAUCUGGAGUCCCCAGCCCAGAAUACCAGCUGAGGUUCCCAAAGACUUUCAGCUUCUGCCCUGCUCUGUCUGCAACAGAAGCUUUGAAAGCAAACGGUUGGAGGCUCAUUUCAGGAUCUGCAGGAAGGUUUCAACGUCACAGCGUCCUCUUUAUGACGGCAAACGCCACAGGACAAAGGGGACGGAACUGGAGCAGUUCUUAAAAACCCACAGGGGAGCGGAACCUACCAAGGUUUUGACGAAAAAAAGACAGAAACCAAGACAAACGAGCACUCUGCACAGUGACUUCCGUUAG